rnacentral:lncRNA from 10 species
CUUCCCCCGGCGGCGGCGGCGGCGGCGGCGGCGGCUCGGGCUCCUGUGUGCGGGCUGCCCACCCCCUCCAGAGACCAGCCAGCCCACCGCCAACCUCUACCCAAGGGUUUGCCUUCCCGGAUUGGGCCUACAAGCCAGAGUCGUCCCCUGGCUCAAGGCAGAUCCAGCUGUGGCACUUUAUCCUGGAGCUGCUGCGGAAGGAGGAGUACCAGGGCGUCAUUGCCUGG